GUGUACCUUUACACUGAUCUCUCCCUUCGUCCCUGCUCCUCCAGGAAACAAGGGGUGGGUACAAACAAACAAACAGGGGGGAAGAAAAAGGAAGAAAACGAUCUGUCACUCCUUACUUUGUUCCCGAGUUCCUGUCACUCUUUUUUUUUUUCCCCAUUUGUCCUCUCAUCAAAAUCACUAAAUGAAAUGCAUACCCCUCAGCCUGUUUCAGUCUCCCCAGGGCUGAAGCUGUAUUGGUUUCACUUGGCUAUUUGGCAAACCUUGCUGAGAAAUGCUUCAGGAGCUGACUAGAGAAAUAACUUGAGUGCAAAGAAACUCUUGUAUGUUGAAGGACUACCCACCACUCCCUGACACCCCAGGGCCCCUACCCUAUUCCUCACCCACCUCCUCCCACCUCCACCCCGCCAGAGCCUUGUCAUUGAGUCCUAGCCUCCUUCCAUAUUUGGGCAGAAUUAUUAGGCGUUUAUCUAUCGCCUUUUUCCUUGCCCUGGAAUAUAAAGACAGUAGCCCCGAGAUUAAGAUGGAGAAGCAAAGGGUUGGGGAUUUAGCUCAGUGGUAGAGCGCUUGCCUAGGAAGCGCAAGGCCCUGGGUUCAGUCCCCAGCUCUGAAAAAAAGAACCAAAAAAAAAAAAAAAAAAAAAAGAUGGAGAAGCAAAAAGCUUUUGCAUGCAGUUAGAAUCCUGUUCACUGCUGUUUGGAAACAACCCUCCCUCCCCUUGCUCACAUGCCUUAACUGAGUUGAAUCCCUAAGGCUAACAAAGUUACAACUCAACCUUAAUCUUAAGCAAGCUCAGAGACGAACAGCAUCACAUGGUUGAAAAACAUACACAACACCAAAGCCUAGGAACACCUUGAUCCCUUGCCUAGGGUGUGCGUGUUUGUUCCAGAAAGUGAACUAACUGGGCUCGAGGUGUUUUCCGAUGAUAAACAGUAUUUAUCAAGGACAAGGGAGGUAGGACUCUCACUAACUUUAGUUUCUCAGUGCCUGUAGCAGGCAUCUGAGAAAAUCCUAGCUUGAUGGUAUGAAAUAUCAAAAUAUUUACCGAAAGUGCAUAUAUUCAUAUUGUUAAAUAGUGUGGUAUGUAGCAACAUAAGAUUUAAAAUUUUGUAUGUAUAGGGUUGGGUUUUUUUUUUCGUUGUCGUUUUUGCCACACGUGUGCCUGCUGCAGGUAGAGGCCAGAAGAGGGUGUCAGAUGCCUUAGAACUGGAGUCAAGAGUUGUAAGCUGCCAUUUUGGUUCUCGGACUGAAACUCGUUCCUCUGAUACUAACCACCAAGCCAUCUCUUCAGCCCCAGCUACAUAAGAUUUGAGGAGAACCAGAGAUGGUGCCAGGCCUGACAACCUGAGUUCAAUAGCAGAACCCACACAGUAGAAAAAGAACCAGUUCGGACCUCCCCUGUGCCCCCAGUACUCACUCCAGAGACACCCGAAAUAACCUCUUUAGAUGUAAAAAGUUACUAUUGUUUUUAAAUCUUGAGAUCUGAAAGGAAGAGAGGAGGCCGCUAAGGGUCAGAGGGUGUUGACUUGGGAUGUCUCAGAGGAGGCAAUGCUGAUAUUUAUUUGGGGUUGUCUAUGGAGUAAUUGAAUUUUUAAUUAAGAAAAGCCCCGUGGACAGUUCUGUGUCUUGUUCCCUGCACAGCUAUUGUUUCUUUUUAAUUUGCAGCGCUCAGCUCAGACCACUUGUUUGUUCUGUGUUAGGCCAAAAAUCUGUUUAACUUUGGCAGUGGCAGCUGCUUCCUGGGCCUAUAGCCAAGGCGUAUUCUGAAUUGGCUGCCUCCUGGAGAGGGUUGUUUAUAACCUUUCACCUGGUAUUCUGAUAACAAUCUGUCCCUCUUCACACACACACACACACACACACACACACACACACACACACACACACACACGCUUACACUCACACACGCAUGUCCCCGUCUCAGUUCUUGGAUGGAAGAAAGAAAAAAAGUCUUAUAAACUCCCGCCCUACAAAACCAGCACAAAGGCUGUGGGUACAGAGAGACAAGGACAGAAGUGCCCAGGAGGAGCGUAGGUUUGCAAGUUAAGUCACAGCACCUGUAGGAAACCAAUGGGGUUUGCCCUGUGUUUAUUUUACUCUAAGACAACCAGGUAGUCAAAGCCUUCAGCCUUGUGGACAGGAAGUAAAGCCAGGGCUGUAUUUCAUUAUUCUGUCACCUCUGGCCUUGCAGAGAUUUCGAGCUGGGAAUGCAAAACAGUUUGUUUUCACAGGACUUCACAGAACGAUGUCUGGCAGGCUUCAAGCUCACAGAGAUCCACCUGUCUCUGCCUCCCUAGUGCUGGAACUAAAUGAGAGUCCCGGCCCUCUCCCAGCUGAAAUUCAUCAGCACAUUAACCCAGUGGCUCACAGAAAGGAGCAACAGUGAUUCGCCCGAGGUCACAGUUUUUGUAAGUCCAUCCAGAAUUUCAACCUGGGACUAUCUGUUCUGUGCAGGCAGCUGACUCACUCGUGUAACCCCAGUCCUGGGAGAGUAAGGCAGAAGAGGGAUUGCCACUGCUCUAAGACUAGCCUGGGCUACAUAGUAAGACAUUUAAUAUUAUUUACAAAAGAACGAUAUUCAGAUGGACAGAACGAAAAGCAACCAAAGAAGAGGCUCAAUGGGUUGGAGAGUCGGCUCAGUGAUGAGGAGAAAUUGCUGUUGCCAAGGACCCAGGUUUGGUUUCCCAGCACCCACACGGAGUGCCAUACGUCCGCAGGCACCAGGCACAGGGGUGAGACCAUGCCUCUUGGUGCUUUGACACGUUCCUUGCUUGAUCUUUGUAAUGGCAUUGUACAGGACACAGGGCAAGCAAGACUCUCAGAGUUUUAGACUUAAAGGGGACUCUAAACAGUUCCCUUAUUUUGGUUCCCAGACACGCCCUCAGAUAACCAGCUAAUAUCUGGUUGGAGCCAUUCCUGAACUCGCUCUGAUGAUUGUGGUGCCUGUUUUCAAGGUUUCAUCACAGGCACCUAGAACAAAGGCCGAUAAGAAGGGACUCCUGUGUAAAAUACUCCUCUGGAACCCCAUGGUUCCCGCUGAUGAGGGGCCGAAGUCCCAGAGCUCAGCUGAUCUUCCUGCCUCUGCCUCUUGUGUGCCAGGAUGGCCACUGCACCAGGCUGGCUUGAGACUUGAGAAAGAUUCUCGUAAGUCAGCUUUAUCGGUUUGGCUUCACUCUCCGUCCUUUCCUGAGAAGGCGGUGGUUCUCAGCCUUCCUAAUGCUUGACCCUUUAAUACAAUCCCUCAUUCCGUUAUCUCGUUGCUACUUCCUAACUGUAAUUUUGCUAUUGUUGUGAAUUGUAAAUAUCCGAUAUGGGUUGGGGAUUUAGCUCAGUGGUAGAGCGCUUGCCUAGCAAGUGCAAGGCCCUGGGUUCGGUCCCCAGCUCCGAAAAAAAAAAGAAAAAGAAAAAGUAAAUAUCUGAUAUAUAGGCUAUCGAUGUAGGACCCUGGGGUGGGGGGAGGCCCACAAGUUGAGAAACACUGCUCUGGUCGGUUUUCUUCAAUGUUUCUAGAAGACAUCAAAGUGAGGUUUCUUUAACAGCUAUGUACAUUAAAACCAUCAUUUAGAGAACUGGACAUUCGUCUGGACUUUUGGUCUUUAUUCUUUUCUUCUUUGCUAGCAAUUCUGUCUUGUUUCUUUUCUUUUCUCUCGGAGCUUUUCCCAAGGAUGUUUGCCUUGGUGAUCUCCCUGUCUCUCUUUAAUUUUUAGGCUUGUUUUUAGUGUUUUGUGUGUGUGAGUGUUUUGCCUGCAUGUACGUCUGUGCACUACAUUCGUGCCUGGUGCUGGGAAAGUGUCAAACCUCCAUCAGGGUGCUGGAAAACCAAACCUGGGUCCUUUGCAGCAACAACAACAAUUUCCCCCAACCACUGAGCCGACUCUCCAACCCACCCGGCCUCUUCUGUGUUUGCUUUUCAUUCUCAUCUGUAUAUUAAUCUUUUGUAAAUAAUAUUAAACCAGUGGGUGACAGAGAGAUGGCUUCGUGGUUAAGAGUCCGUAUUGCUUUUCCAGAGGACCUAGUAGAAGAGACCAGGCUCCAUUCCUAGCACCCACAUGGUACCUCACAACCUCUGUAACUCCAGGUCCAGAGGAUCGGCACACACAUAGUACACAGGCAUACAUACAGGCGAAGCAACACGUACACAUAAAAUAAAAAUAAUAAAUCUAAAAACAAACAAAACAACAACAACAACAACAAAAACCUCCACAAAACCCACAAAACCAGGACCCGGGGCUGUAAUUCCAGCCUAGCAUGCAUGAAGCCCUAGGCUUGAUCAGCAUUCAAGAGGCAUAGAAAGAAGAAUCACACCAGGUGGUGGUGGUGGUGGCUGCUGUGGCAAGCUGAUUUCUGAGUGCAAGGCUAGCCUGGUCUACAGAGUGAGUUCCAGGACAGUCAGGGCUACACAGAGAAACUAUCUCCAAAAACAAACAAACAAACAAACAAACAAACAAACAAACAAACCAAACAAAACUCAGAAGUUCAAAGUGAGUUUGAGUCCAAAAAGUGUUAUACUGUGUAACUAGCCUAUCUCCAGCAUUCUAGUCGCAUCUCAAAUUCAACUUAUCAAGUAAUAGUAUGUGUCUGCCCCCACAACCCCUAUACACUAGCAUGUUUCCUUUUUUUUAAAAAGUGGGGGAGAUAGAAGGAUAUAGGGCCUUUAGCUCUGAUCUUUUGAUCUUCCUGUGUACAUGUUCCAAUAUAUUCACACCCACCUUAGACUUCUUAACAGUUUUUUAAAGCUAAUCUCCCCACUGUAAUCUAUAGAUUACAGCUAGAUUAAUACAACAUCCCCCUGCCCCCGCCAGCCCCUGUGAUUAUCCAAAGUCCUGUGCUUACUGAAUGUCAUCCAAAUGUCCAUCCUGCAUUUAAAAGUCUUUACAAUGUGGUCUCAGCUAAACGUGCCUGCUUCAUUUCCUACUGCUUCCUGAUCUACGUUUCCUGCUCUUCAGCCAAGCCUGGUACUCAGUGUUCUCCUACUAUCCCCUUCUUCCUUUGUGAAGUCCUUGCUUACGCUUCUCUCUCUACCUGGAACUCCCUCCCUCCUCAGCCCCAGCAUUUGAAACCCCAGGCCCCACCCUCCCAGUAGAUAGUCAAAUGGUAUUCCUUUCUGAAAUCUGGGUGCCAAGUGUUCUCAGGUUUUUAUUUUUUUUUUAUAUCCUCCCCAACAUGUUGUUCAUGCUUCCCAGGUCAGUUGUUCCCCCCCCCCCAAGGAUAACAAAUUUCUAGAGAGCAGGACUAUGUCCUUUUCUUAGCUUUGCAUUCUUCCUAGCCCCUGUUGGAACACAGCUCCAAGUGUAAGUAGAGAGGGAGCUGGUGGGUUGGAGGACCUGUGAAGGAGAAUAGGCUAACACUUAGACCACUGUUUCACGACCAUGCAGACUUGUGGUCUUUCUUCCUUUUGUGGUUAAUGUCAAGUUUUACACUUUAAUUCCAGUUCUUCCCUCCUCAGAAUCUAGGACGGAUCAGUUGUAUAUCAGUGGACGGGGUGAAGGCGGUGAGGGAGGAUGGUGUAGUUUUCAACAAGGCUGUGUUGACGUAAUCGCUCCUGGGAGAUGGGACAGUUCGUCCUUAGCCUUUUCCGAAAACUUGUCCUUUUCCAAGAAAUUCUUUCUUCAAUAAUUCAGGAACCCAGUUGGCUCAGCCCUGCCACCCAGUGGUUUAGUUAAAUACAUUAACAAGAUCCUCCAUCGAAGAAUUACCACAAACACAGGAGCCUUUGUGGUGACCUGACUCCUGACCUAGAACACUCCGACAAAUGGCAAAGAUGAGUCUUGUUUUUAAAGAUUUAUUUAUUAUAUAUAAGUACACUGCAGCUGUCUUCAGACACACCAGAAGAGGGCAUCAGAUCUCAUUGUUGAUGGUUGUGAGCCACUGCAUGGUGGGAUUUGAACUCAGGACCUCUGAAGAACAGUCAGUGCUCUUAAUCACUGAGCCUGAUUGUGAGAAAAAGAAACUAAAUAUACAGCAGUCUCCGUCUCUUGCCUGGUUGGCAAUGAGCAGUAUUUCCUAUCUUAGCUUGUGUUUGAAAGGAAGAAAGAGAGAGAGAGAGAGAGAGAGAGAGAGAGAGAGAGAGAGAGAGAGAGAGAGAGAGAUUGAUUGACAGCUCACGGGUUAAAAGCACUGACUGCUCUUCUGGAGAAACCGUUUAAUUUCCAGCUUCCACAUGGCAGCUCACAACGGUCUAUAGCCCAGCUCCAAGUGACCUGACACCUCACACAGACACACACACAGGCAAAACAACAAUGCGCAUAGAAGAAAAAUUCUUUUUAAAAAGUUGCAAGCUGGGGAUCGGGGCACAGGACUUUAAUUCCAAUACUCUAAAGGCAGAGGGAGGUGGGUGUCUGUAAGCUCUAGGCCAGCCUGGUCUACAUAACGAGACUGUCUUAAGACAAAAAUUUCAAGACAGCUGAUUCUUAUCAGAGGCCGGCAGAUGAUGCGUCUGAGAAAGAACACAGUAAUCGGCAGGAUGUAACUGUGGUCACUCACAGCUUGCCCCCACACCAUCUGACAUAUGCCUUAUGUAUCUGUCCACAGUGCCCCUCUGGUCCUUCAGACACUAUACCACAUCCUUUGCACUUUUCUAUGAUUCCUCCAAACAGACUCAACUGGAACCUUGGUGUCAUAGUGGCAUGCUAAGCACCUCCAAUGCAUAUGAAUUUUUUUUUUUUUUUUUACCAACUCGGUAGUGCCUGUCUCUUGUCCCUAAACAGAGCUCCUCCAAGGUGUGAACCAUAUUAUCACAUGAUCCAACAGUUUAGGGAAUUCAGAAAUCUUAAAGAAUGAGUAUGAUCCCUGUCCUGGGAGGCUGAGGCAGGAGAAUUGCUAGAAGUUCCAGGCCAGUUUGGGACAGGGCAAAUCCCUGUUUUAAAACAGGAAACCAAAAGAAGGCUCACAGACAGAGAGGCAGCAUCUCAGUUUGUACAGCACUGCCUAGCAUGCACAAAGUCCUGAUCUCCAGCACCAAAGUGGGCCUGUUGGCACGGGUCUGUAAUCCUGGGUAGGGAGAUGGGAAGCCAAGAAUCAGAAGCUCAAGGGCAUCCUCUGAGUUCUAGGGCAGCCUGGACUACAAAAGAUCCCAUCUCAAAAAAAAAAAAAAAAAGGGUGGGGUAGGAUUAAAAUAAAAUACAUCCACAUUUUAGUUUCUAGAUUCUAGCCUAGUCAACCAAUGUCACCUAGGUUGGCUUUGAGAAAGUAGUAAUUCCACCUGCCUCUACCUCCCGGCCACCUCAGUAACAAAUAUAAGGCACUUUUUAUUGGAUCUUUUUAUUUAUAUUUCAAACAUUAUCCCCUUUCCCGGUUUCCCAUCCAUAAACCCCCACAUUUUUUUUUUUUAAAUAUGGCAGUGGUUCUCAACCUUCCUAAUGCUGCAACCCUUUAAUACAGUUCCUCAUGUUGUGGUGAACCCCAACCAUAAUAUUAUUUUUGUUGCUACUUCAUAUCUGUAAUUUUGCUACUGUUACGAGUUAUAACGUAAAUGUCUGUGUUUUCGUGGUCUUAGGCGACCCCUGUGACAGGGUCAUUCAAUACCCAAAGGGUCGGGACUCACAGGUUGAGAACCACUGGUCUGUAGCCCACUGUGCACCCUGCUGAUUGUCUGUAGAGUUGGCUGUCACAGAAGUAGGGCUAUGCGUUUGCUCACGAAGAAAAACCAAACCCCUGACACAGCCUCUUUCUGUUUCAGGUGAUUUAAUUUUAGCACAGGGCGUUCAGAUCUCAUCUAGAGUGGGGUGAAGCGGAAGAGAGAACGGAGACUGAUUAACUUAAUUUUUUAAAAAAUAUACAGAAUUGUCUUCAUUUCAAUGUGUAUGAAUACUUUUGCCUGCAUGUAUGCAAUGUACCAUGUGCACGAUUGGUGCCUAAAGAGACCUUAUUGUUUGUCUGCUACUAAAAGUUAUACACAACAACAAAAGAAAUGGACUGGCUGUGGCGUGAAUUGGAUCACCUUUAGUCCCAGCACUCAGGAGGCAGAGGCAGGUGGAUCUCUGUGAGCUUGAGGUCCAGGACAGCCAGGGCCACGCAGAGGGACCCUGUCUCAAAGGAACAAGUCUGUGAUGGUGGCCUUUACAUGCAGUCACAGAGGUCGGGAGGUGGAGGCACAAGAUCAACACUUGUCGGCAGCUCACCUGAGCUAAACUUCAGAGUCAGCUCCAGGCUGCUCCGGGCUGCAGUGUAAGACCUUGUUUAGAACGAACAGACCAAUAUGUACAAAUGACUUAGGUAAAUGCUUGAAGGCAGGAGAUGCACUAUAUAAAAGACAAGUGCAUGAAACUCUUGGUCUUAAAAACACUGGUUCUAUGAGCUAAUCACAGAAAAAUGUCCUGAAGGCAGCCUCGAUGUGCGUCAACAAUGGCAUAUUGAGGCCGAUUUAAUUAAUAUCGGAUUGAGGCUGGCUUUAAUUAUCUACCCUUCCUCUGUUUUCUUGCUUUCUCAGAGCCUAUCCUCCAUACACACACACACACACACACACACACACACACACACACACACACACACACGUGUGUCUGCCUGCCUGCUGUUUGGUUUUGCUUGUUUGUUUGAAAAAAAAGAAAAAAGGUCUCUUCCUCCACAGGUUCCCCUUCACUUGCUGCAUAGUAGAGGCUGGCCUUGAACUCCUGACCCUUCUGCCUCCUAAGCAUUAGGAUAUUAGGAACGUAAGUGUUCUCCAUCACACUGAUCUGGUUGUUCAUUUGCUUGCUUAUUCUGUUUUUUCUUUUUUUAAGAUUUAUUCAUUUAUUAUAUGUAAGUACACUCUCGCUGUCUUCAGACACACCAGAAGAGGGCAUUGGAUCCCAUUACAGAUGGUUGUGAGCCACCAUGUGGUUGCUGGGAUUUGAACUCAGGACCUCUGGAAGAGCAGUCAGUGGUCUUAACCGCUGAGCCAUCUCUCCAGCACC